CAGAUGAGAAGCUUGCUUCUCUGAUGUUAGCGGCGGACGGGUGAGUAACACGUGGGUAACCUACCUAUAAGACUGGGAUAACUCCGGGAAACCGGGGCUAAUACCUGAUAAUAUUUUGAACCGCAUGGUUCGAUAGUGAAAGGCGGCUUCGGCUGUCACUUAUAGAUGGACCCGCGCCGUAUUAGCUAGUUGGUAAGGUAAUGGCUUACCAAGGCGACGAUACGUAGCCGACCUGAGAGGGUGAUCGGCCACACUGGAACUGAGACACGGUCCAGACUCCUACGGGAGGCAGCAGUAGGGAAUCUUCCGCAAUGGGCGAAAGCCUGACGGAGCAACGCCGCGUGAGUGAUGAAGGUUUUCGGAUCGUAAAACUCUGUUGUUAGGGAAGAACACAUUUGUUAGAGUGGAAUUUCCAUGUGUAGCGGUGAAAUGCGCAGAGAUAUGGAGGGAACACCAGUGGCGAAAGGCGGGCUCUCUGGUCUGUAACUGACGCUGAUGUGCGAAAGCGUGGGGAUCAAACAGGAUUAGAUACCCUGGUAGUCCACGCCGUAAACGAUGAGUGCUAAGUGUUAGGGGGUUUCCGCCCCUUAGUGCUGCAGCUAACGCAUUAAGCACUCCGCCUGGGGAGUACGACCGCAAGGUUGAAACUCAAAGGAAUUGACGGGGACCCGCACAAGCGGUGGAGCAUGUGGUUUAAUUCGAAGCAACGCGAAGAACCUUACCAAAUCUUGACAUCCUUUGAUCGCUCUAGAGAUAGAGUUUUCCCCUUCGGGGGACAAAGUGACAGGUGGUGCAUGGUUGUCGUCAGCUCGUGUCGUGAGAUGUUGGGUUAAGUCCCGCAACGAGCGCAACCCUUAAGCUUAGUUGCCAUCAUUAAGUUGGGCACUCUAGGUUGACUGCCGGUGACAAACCGGAGGAAGGUGGGGAUGACGUCAAAUCAUCAUGCCCCUUAUGAUUUGGGCUACACACGUGCUACAAUGGAUAAUACAAAGGGCAGCGAACCCGCGAGGUCAAGCAAAUCCCAUAAAAUUAUUCUCAGUUCGGAUUGUAGUCUGCAACUCGACUACAUGAAGCUGGAAUCGCUAGUAAUCGUAGAUCAGCAUGCUACGGUGAAUACGUUCCCGGGUCUUGUACACACCGCCCGUCACACCACGAGAGUCUGUAACACCCGAAGCCGGUGGAGUAACCUUUUAUUAGGAGCUAGCCG
rnacentral:rRNA from 2 species